rnacentral:rRNA from 1 species
CGGGGGACCGAAAGGCCUCGCGCUAUUGGAGCGGCCGAUGUCAGAUUAGGUAGUUGGUGGGGUAAAGGCCUACCAAGCCUGCGAUCUGUAGCUGGUCUGAGAGGACGACCAGCCACACUGGGACUGAGACACGGCCCAGACUCCUACGGGAGGCAGCAGUGGGGAAUUUUUGGACAAUGGGCGCAAGCCUGAUCCAGCCAUGCCGCGUGCGGGAAGAAGGCCUUCGGGUUGUAAACCGCUUUUGUCGGGGAAGAAACGCUCUGGGCUAAUACCCUGGGGUAAUGACGGUACCCGAAGAAUAAGCACCGGCUAACUACGUG